UGUGUCAGUAGGUGGAAGAGAGGAGAUAGGCUAUGCCUACACUCGGUAUUCUGACUCAUGAACAUCUGGAUUAUUGGUAGCUUAACAUU
rfam:Mus musculus chromosome 4, GRC primary reference assembly.